rnacentral:rRNA from 1 species
CAGUAGCCGCGGGAACACGAAGGGGGCUAGCGUUGCUCGGAAUUACUGGGCGUAAAGGGAGCGUAGGCGGACAUUUAAGUCAGGGGUGAAAUCCCAGAGCUCAACUCUGGAACUGCCUUUGAUACUGGGUGUCUUGAGUGUGAUAGAGGUAUGUGGAACUCCGAGUGUAGAGGUGAAAUUCGUAGAUAUUCGGAAGAACACCAGUGGCGAAGGCGGCUUACUGGCUCAUACUGGACGCUGAGGUGCGAAAGCGUGGGGAGCAAACAGGAUUAGAUACCCCCGUAGUCCCUGUCUCUUAUAC